rnacentral:rRNA from 1 species
GACGAACGCUGGCGGCGUGCUUAACACAUGCAAGUCGAGCGGUAAGGCCCUUUCGGGGGUACACGAGCGGCGAACGGGUGAGUAACACGUGGGUGACCUGCCCUCAGCUCUGGGAUAAGCCCGGGAAACUGGGUCUAAUACCGGAUAUGACUCCAUGACGCAUGUUGUGGGGUGGAAAGCCUUGUGCGGCUGAGGAUGGGCCCGCGGCCUAUCAGCUUGUUGGU